rnacentral:rRNA from 1 species
CUGAGAAAUGGCUACCACAUCUAAGGAAGGCAGCAGGCGCGUAAAUUACCCAAUCCUAAUUCAGGGAGGUAGUGACAAGAAAUAACAACUCGGACCUCACACGAGGUUACGGGAUUGCAAUGAGAACAAUUUAAACCACUUAUCGAGCAACAAUUGGAGGGCAAGUCUGGUGCCAGCAGCCGCGGUAAUCCCAGCUCCAAUAGCGUAUAUUAAAGUUGUUGCAGUUAAAAAGCUCGUAGCUGAAUUUCUGGCCAGCGCUGUUCUCGGCUCUCGCAGUCGGUUCAGUGUUUGGUCAUCCGUAUGGGAAGCUAGCUCGGCCUUCACUGGUCGGCUAGUGGAUCAUACACUUUACUUUGAAAGAAUUAGAGUGUUUCAGGCAGGCAAUUGCUUGGAUACUUCAGCGUGGAAUAAUGGAAUAGGACUUUGACCUAUUUGUUGGUUUCUUCGAGGUCAAGGUAAUGAUUAAUAGGGACAGUUGGGGGCAUUCAUAUUUAAUUGUCAGAGGUGAAAUUCUUGGAUUUAUUAAAGAUGAACUUAUGCGAAAGCAUUUGCCAAGGAGUUUUCA